GUUUCAGAUUCUAGUGUCCUCAAAUUGUGUAUAGUUGAUGUAUGGUUCAUAUAAUAAGUAUUCUGAAAUAUGUAAAGUACCAUGGCACAGUAUUAUACUGCAUAUUCAAUUUAAGGGAUUUUUUAAAAACUUUAAUAUGAACUGGAUUAUAAACCCUAAGGAUUAAAUAACUUAAUCACUAUAUUAUGAACCGCGUUUGUCAGAUUACACCUACUGUUCCUUAUACUAACUCAGGAAUAUUUUUUGCUAAUAAAUCAAGCUAAUAUUGUGACAAUGAGCACAAUAUGAACUUCAGGUUGUGCUGUCCCCAGCACUAUAUAAGCCUUGCACUAUAAAACACUAUAUGCUGUGGUGUGCUUUGGGGAGGGGUGGCCAUGACGAGGGGUGCUAUAGAUGCCAAUAGUCAUGAGCAUGCAGGCCAUAACAAAAGCGGCCUUUAUGUAGCAUGCAUGCAGAUAAAGGAGCCCCCCCUUUUGUCCUAGGUUUCACACGUCUGGCCAUGAGCGAGCUGGACAGUGACAGCCACGGGGUACUGCAGCAACACAGAGACACACACUGCCUUCAUGUGGCCAUGCUAAACACACACUCAGGCUUGCAUGCCAUGCAUAUUGUAAGGGGAAAUGUCCUUAAUUUUCUAUUUAGUAAAGGCAGGAUACAAUCGUAAUCAAAAUAGUUAAAUUAUAAACAAAUUUGUGUAUAAAAUUGAUUGUGUAUACAUAUACAUAUACUGAUGUGAGAAACCACAUUACUUGAUAAUGCAGUGGUCAUCUAAUUGCAUAUCGAAUAAUUAUUAAAUAGACAGUACUGCUUUAGGUAAAUGAUUACUAGCAAGUAUGGGUAGGUUAAAUGAGGCAAAGCUGUGAUAAAGGACAUAUGGAGGGCACACAGUGAAUGCUCUAGGGAAAGGGACACAGUGUUCACAGUGGGAUUAAUUAUGGGGACCUGAAUCUUCAGGUUGUGUCUACGUCUGCGUGUCUGAAACGCUGUGUGUCAGCACUGCAACCAUUCAAACUGCUCACAAACACUUCUGAAUAGGGUCCACUUAAUCAGGCAUGCUGAGGUGUGAUAAUCAAAUUAUUCUCAGCAUUCGUUGUGGGUUACCCGGGGCCCCUUUCCAGCAACUUAUCCCCGACGGGGAGUAAAUCACUCUCUAUACAUCUGAGGUGUUUCAGCACAAACACACAUAAACACUCGCACAUGCUCACACACAUGCACCAAUGUGGAGCGUUUUUUUUUUUUUUUUCAUGAGGUGGGAGACGAAGUGCUCAAAAGAAAGAGGAGUGGGUUCCUUUUGCACGUUACUCCUUCUUGAGCCCAUCUCUAUUGACCUGUAAACCUUUGUGACUGGAACAAAUGCAAAUGGCGCUGACUUGCUCACACAAACUACUAAAGAGCUAUUCAAAUGAGCCCCUGCCAACAAUGCGGCAGCGGCCGACCCAGGGAGCAGUGGCAGUCUGCAGGCUCGGAGGCCCAGUCUGGAACAGCCUGAUCCAUCACACAGCCAGGCCCAGAGCAGCACACUCACAUUACUGUUAAUCCAAUAUCUAAAGCCUCAAACAAACACUCUCUAUAAGAACCAGUGCUUCCUUUAUGCAAAAGACUGUUGAGUGACAAACAGCUAAUGAUAACUUCUUUCACCGGUGAAUUAUAAUAAAUAAAUAACUAAACAAAGUAUGCAUUUCCUCAAGCACAAACGCAAUCACAGUAGUUUACACAAGUGCAUGCAAUAUAAUGACCAUAUAAACUUUGAGAGCUCUAUACAAUUAUAUUUUGCACUUCCUUGUGUGCCUAUUAAAGAGAAAAGGAGGCUUUCUGUAUAUUGCACCCAAGUUCAGAAACCCCUGAACAUGAAAUUAGUUCUAAAAGCUCAUAUAUCUGUGCAUUCUCGAGAAAUACACACAGUAUACACAGUGUACCUAAUUCAAGAAUUUCAUUCGAUUUCAUUUUAAAUGAACACAUCUUAUAUAUAUAUAUAUAUAUACUUUUUUGUAUCUGUUUAGUAUGCACUUAAGUACAUUUUAUAUACAUUUUGGUCUAAACACAUGACAUCAACAAAUGAAAGAUCUGAACAAUGUAACUUAGUGUCAUACCUGAUUGCCCGAAAUGAACAAGCUACAUUUUCUAUUUAAAUUUCUUAGUAAUUCACUUUUCUUUAUAUGUCAUGUUGGGCAGACAUUCCACUCUGGAUAACAAUAGGAAUAACCACAUGCAUUAUAUCUGACUAGUGUGCUGAAAAACUGCUCUCUUUAUAUUGGGCCUUGAAAACCUUUGGAACUUAUCAAGGCACUGAGUCAGUGCUUCGGGUCAGUGGAAUUUACAGCUAGGACGAUAAGGGUCAAAUGAUGUCAUUCAAACAGAAUGAACUGUCAGCCACAAGCUAAUGUUAAGCUGAUGGAGUGCACACCGCAGAAGUAAUAUAAGUCACAAUUAGACCAGCCUGUGAUAAAUUUGUAGCUAUGAUCCCCCACCUUUUUUUUUUCUUUCUUUCUUAUUUUUUUUUGUAAAAAAAAAAAAAAAGCUGUUUCUUACUGAGUUUUUCAUAUUGCUUAUAUGUAACAGAUUGGGCAUCUGCAAAAAUUAGUUCAUUAGAAGGUUUACUUUAAUGCAAAAAGCAAGUACCUUCUAUCAAGUACCAUAUUUUGUAGCAAUAAAUAUUUUGCCACAUAAUGGUGAAGUAAGCAAAUUUGGAAUUAUUUCUACAACAAUAAAAAUAAGAGCACAUUUUUAAUUAAAUACAACAUUGUACAGCCCAAACUCCCUAUGCAAAAAACACCACCCUUUCCCUUACAUUACUACUGGUUUUGUCAUCAUCAGAGCUCCUACCUGUCUCUCUCUCUCUUUCCUAACACGAGAUUGAACCCCAAGAGAGGAAUUACACGGUGUAUAACAACAACUCUGAGAUACCUGCAAAUGGCACCGGACCUGAGAGUCAUCCGAAGCAUACAAGCUGAGAUAGCAAGAUGAGUAAAGAUGGUGGGAAGGUGUGAAAGAGACGGGGAGAUAAUAGAGUGGUCUGGAAGGGUACUACGGAGGCUCCACCUGUCUGGCAUUCUUGCCCUCCUCCUCUUUCCACCCUCUUGCACUCAGGAGAAAUGUAGAUGAAAAGUGCUGUGCUCCAGUUUGAAAUUCAUUUUGGGUUUCAGCUACAAGCACAUUAUAGAACUGUGUCUGAUAAAGCAAUAAUCUUGUUUGCCAAAAAGACAGGAGUGUUUAGAGGAAGUUAUUUAUAGUCUGCAGAGUUUAAAAGCAAUAUUAUGAGGUGUUUGUUUAAGUUACAUUAAGCAAAAUAAUACUGUAUUAAAAAAAUUAAAUAAUAAUAAUAAUAAGUUUUAAAAGAACGUGAAGAAAAGAAGAAAAGAAAUGAGGGCAAUAAAAGCAUGGUAGCUCUAAAAUGUUUAUGGGGAGUGAAUCUGUGUAAUUAGAUACCAGUGAUGAACUGAUUAGAGUAAGACUACUUAGAAAUCGCCACUGCAUAACAGAUGACAUGUUUAUGAUAAAAACUAAUUGUUUGCAAUAAACUGCAUCUUAUUCAGUCAAUCUGUUUAUCUUCAAACAAAUGGGAUAUUAUGACGUAAAGUUUGGCCUAAUUCUCACAAAUUCGCCUAAUCUUUCAAUGUCUGAGACUAUUCUCACAUUUAAUAGUACAGUCUUCGGAUAUUUUCUGCGUUUAUACCAUUGGCUCUUACCUGUGUUACCUGUGUCAUGAUGCCAUUGAUAAUGUUCCUCAGUCUGUGGACGACAAACUGAGACAUGAACAUUAUGUAUAAUUUUGGCAAAGAUCCAAACUAUUUAAUCCACAAAUAAUACACUUAUAUUCAUAAGUGAUUUUCUUCAUUUUAUCUCUCCAAGUCGUAAAACAGGACCAGUGCGGUGAGGAAUGCAGAAUGGAAGGACAAGGAGAGAACCUUCUAACAGGAUUCAUGAACUUUCUUUUAACUCUGGACUUCGGCUACUCACUGUAGCCUAAAAAAUAGAUGUUUUCUUGGCAGCAUGAAAAAACUGCAAGUUCAGCCAAAAUAGACAAUAAAGCAGUAUAGGGAGCUAAAACACACGCCAGAUUGCAGAGUGGCGAUUCAGAGAAGAGUCCCAGCCCCCCCCCAAAAAAAAGAUCCACAGUGGAAAGAAAAGCCUUCUCCCUGUCCUCAGAUGAACUUGAACAUGAGCUUCCUGUUAGACCCUGGGAGGAAACACCCAGCGCAGCAAACUCACACUCACAGAGGAAGGCCUUCACUGCCGAAUUCUUUACUGCCUGCAAAAUUAGGUCAAGCACUUAAGAACUCCUUUCUCAGAAACAAGUUCGACCUCACUCUCACUUUCUCUCUAACAGAUGCAUAUACACAUGUACACAUAACAAACACACACGAAUCCCCUGUACACAAACACAGUAUGUAAUGCACUGUCUUUACGUCUCAUGGGUAAACCGCAUAUUCGAAACAAGGGGAAUAGGUGUCACACUCUGCAUCUGAGUAGAUUAUUUACGAGUCCUUACCCUGUAAUGCACUGUAAUGUUCACGGCUGCCGUCCUGCUCGAUGCAGACACAUUCCUCCUGCAGUCGCAGGCCUGUUCACACUCAUAUCUCUACAACUCCCUCAAUGCCAGUCUGAGCCUAUUGUAACCCCAUGCACAUAUCACACUACUACUCACACACACACACACACACACACACACAUAUAACUGGGCACACGUGUGACAGGUGAGCUGUCAUCAUCGCUUUAUUUUUAUUCACAGCUGGAUUUUAGACAUGGGCAGCCAAGGUAAACCCGAUUAUAAAGGGGCCGACUGAGGUUCUGCAGGCUUUUUUAGAUGUAGAAUUCUGUGUCACACUAUUAUCCUGGUGGACCCUAUUCUACAUGUUCGUGAUAACACUGUAAGCAGCAACCUUGCGCCAUAUCAAAGAAAUCAUCAGAUUACAGCACUGUGGCCAGGUCAUGUUGACACAUUACAUACUUGGCCUCUAUUCUUUGGUGAGCAAAUGUUGUUGUUUUUUUUAAAGGGAACAGGAAGCAGUGUGACCAAGAGCAAAAGCAGGGGAGCAAUAGAGAGAAGGUCAGAGAGAAACGGAGAAAGAGCACAGCAACAGCACGCCAAUUUUCUGUCAUCCGUUGCUACAGCGGAGAGUUUGGGGAGACAUUCCUGUGGGAUUGACAGUUUGGUAUGGCCAGAGCUCCAGCAGCUAGUCGUGGAAAGACACUUCCAGUGCACACACAGCACAAAUUCAGCCAGCUGUACUGCGUGCUCGUUGGCCUCGAUCACUGCGUAUCGGCCUGUCCAGAGUCCUCACACAGGUUCCUCAGCUCUGAACUGACAGCAUAUAUUAACUUACGAAACAUACUAAACAAUAUCCAAGUAAAAAACUAAUAAACUCAAACUGUAUGCUAGUCUUAUUAACAACAAUAUAACUGAAACCUGUAUCAACGAACCCAUGAAGGCAAUCUGACUAAAAAAUAAAUCUGCACACUGUUUAAACUGUAAUAAAAUAUGUGUGUUGGCUUCUAGCCUAGAUUAUUUAAUGUUUCAAAGAGAUUGUCACUGACAAAAGAUGUAAACCAAAAGCGAUUAUUUGGCAAAUAGUGCUGAGCACUGACUGGCAACAUGUGAAAACAGCGAGUGAAAAACGACUGCAGAGAUGUCAAAGACCAUGACAUCUUGCUGAGCAGAAAUUGCACUGCUGAAAUCAUCAGCAGUUUAGUGGUCAAACCACUGGCUUGAAAGAUAAAUGGACAGAAAAGCUAUUCUCUUAAACAUGUUCUUAGUUACUUUGUAUGAAGUAUACUUUACCUUAAGUACGUUAACCAAUAGUCUUUCAGUAAAAGUCUUCUUACAGUUACUGUAAGAAAUUUACAUAGCCAGGAGUAGGAAGUAGUGCUGAGUGUAACAUCAACAUAAAAGAAAGGCCUUUUGGCUGCUUGUGGACUGUUGUGAAUUUCGUACAUCUAUUCCCCAUGUAGCAUUCCAUAUUACUUCCAUUAUGCAGUAAGCAUAUUGCUUAAUAUUUCAUUAAUGGAAAAGCCUAUAUAGUGUACGUCUAGAAUUCCAGUGAUAAACCAGAGAGUUAAAAGCAUGAUUAUUACAUUGGUAACCACAGAAUUAAAAGCAUUACUACUACAUUGGUAACCGCAGAGUUAAAAGCAUGAUUAUUACAUUAGUAACCUCAGCGCGGCAGAGUAAGCCUCCACAUGGUGCAUUAGAAGCAUUCAGGUUGUAAUAUGUAUGCGUAUUCACAGCAUUUUAUUCUGUGUGCUUUUGGAAGGUACUCUUCCUCCUUAUACAAUUAAUGCACAUAGUUACAAGUCAAAGAACAGAUGAUGAUCCAAAUAGUGACUCUGUAUUAAAAGGUUCUCUUUUCUCUUCCACUCUGGUCAAAAAUGAGUUAACCACAUAGGGCAUAAGUAAUCAUGUGGAGAUAUUAUUUUUCCUGUGUUUUUUUUUUUUUGUAAUGUUUUUGUUGUAAUGUUUGACAAAAUAAAAAGAGCUAUCUUCAAACUCGCAAAUAAACUUCAUUUUCAUCUGUUGACCAAUCAUCACCCAGGAUAAACAUGCAACACAAGCGGCUGUGGCCAAUCAAUAUCUGUGUUCUUUUAAUGCUCCGACAGAAGAGAGCAGACUCAAGGUCCCAGUAUUAGGAACAUGAGGACAAAGACACUUUUAGCUCUAGGAGUUCUAACAUUGCUUGCUGAGUUUAAUAAACACAUUUAAAAAACAACAAAAAGUCUUUAGCUGUAGUUAAAUAAUAAAAUAAGUGCUUCUAACAUUAGUUGAUUAUAUGCAAAAUGCUUAAUUCACUGAACCUUCCAGUGUAACAGACCGAAGGUCGGCUAGCAGACUUUCUAAGAGUUUGUUAUAAGAGGUGUGUUGUUGCACAGAAACAUGCACUGUAUGUUCUACUGUAUUUUAAUAUUUCUAAAACUAAAUUUUAAAGGUAACAUAUUGUUUAGGCACAACGUUUCUAAGCAAUUUAACCCUGAAACAGCGUGCAGUUCAGCUGUUAGGGAAUAUAUUUUUUAAAAAUAUAUAUUUUAAAGUGUGUAUGAUCUUAAUAUGGUCUUAAUAAUGUGGUCUUAAAAAUGUCUUUCUCUGCUGAGUCAUCCCCUUUAUUAGAUAUUUACUGAGAGUCACGAUUUGUUUAAUGUAAAACAGCCAGAUAUAACAUUAUAAAACAAAACAGUACAUGAGCUAAUAUGGUUUUAUCUGUAAUUGGCCGAUGUUCAAAAAUCCACUUUCUAAAUAGCUUUGCAUUUUGAUAAUGUAAAUGUUAAGUAACCUUAAAAUGUAGCCCUUGUUGAGCCAUAAAUUUAGAGUUCAGGACUUUAGAGUUCUGCGGGCUGGAAUGUAAAAUUCUUGAUAGCCUAUAUGUCAAAGCAGGUCCUCCCCAGGAGAGCACCUUAUAAUACUAAAGCCAUUAAAAGAAAUAAAUUAAAAAUUAAAAAUAAAUCAGUCAAUCAGUAAAGUUGACAAUUGAGAUAGGAUGCCUGUUUCUUAUAUUAUACACUGGGAAACCG
ensembl:lncRNA